rnacentral:rRNA from 1 species
UACGAAGGGGGCUAGCGUUGCUCGGAAUCACUGGGCGUAAAGCGCACGUAGGCGGACUCUUAAGUCGGUGGUGAAAUCCUGGAGCUCAACUCCAGAACUGCCUUCGAUACUGAGAGUCUCGAGUCCGGGAGAGGUGAGUGGAACUGCGAGUGUAGAGGUGAAAUUCGUAGAUAUUCGCAAGAACACCAGUGGCGAAGGCGGCUCACUGGCCCGGUACUGACGCUGAGGCGCGAAAGCUAGGGGAGCAAACGGG